GCCUAAAGCGUCCGUAGCCGGCUUUGUUAGUUUUCGGUUAAAUCCACAUGCUCAACAUAUGGGCCGCCGGGAAUACUACAAAGCUAGGGAGUGGGAGAGGUAGGCGGUACUCCGUAGGAAGGGGUAAAAUCCUUUGAUCUAUGGAUGACCACCAGUGGCGAAGGCGGUCUACCAGAACACGUUCGACGGUGAGGGAUGAAAGCUGGGGGAGCAAACCGGAUUAGAUACCCGGGUAGUCCCAGCUGUAAACUAUGCAAACUCAGUGAUGCAUUGGCUUGUGGCCAGUGCAGUGCCGCAGAGAAGUCGUUAAGUUUGCCGCCUGGGAAGUACGUACGCAAGUAUGAAACUUAAAGGAAUUGGCGGGGGAGCACCACAAGGGGUGAAGCCUGCGGUUCAAUUGGAGUCAACGCCAGAAAUCUUACCCGGAGAGACAGCAGAAUGAAGGUCAGGCUGAAGACUUUACCAGACAAGCUGAGAAGUGGUGCAUGGCCGUCGUCAGCUCGUGCCGUGAGGUGUCCUGUUAAGUCAGGUAACGAGCGAGAUCCUUGCCUCUAGUUGCCACCAUUACUCUCAGGAGUUGUGGGGCGAAUUAGCGGGACUGCCGUAGUUAAUACGGAGGAAGGAGAGGGCCACGGCAGGUCAGUAUGCCCCGAA
rnacentral:rRNA from 1 species